rnacentral:rRNA from 1 species
CCUACGGGAGGCAGCAGUAGGGAAUCUUCCACAAUGGGCGAAAGCCUGAUGGAGCAACGCCGCGUGGGUGAAGAAGGUCUUCGGAUCGUAAAACUCUGUUGUUAGAGAAGAAAGUGCGUGAGAGUAACUGUUCACGUUUCGACGGUAUCUAACCAGAAAGCCACGGCUAACUACGUGCCAGCAGCCGCGGUAAGACGUAGGUGGCAAGCGUUAUCCGGAUUUAUUGGGCGUAAAGGGAACGCAGGCGGUCUUUUAAGUCUGAUGUGAAAGCCUUCGGCUUAACCGGAGUAGUGCAUUGGAAACUGGGAGACUUGAGUGCAGAAGAGGAGAGUGGAACGCCAUGUGUAGCGGUGAAAUGCGUAGAUAUAUGGAAGAACACCAGUGGCGAAAGCGGCUCUCUGGUCUGUAACUGACGCUGAGGUUCGAAAGCGUGGGUAGCAAACAGGAUUAGAUACCCGAGUAGUC